rnacentral:ncRNA from 1 species
UGUCUCCUCCACCCUCCUCCUUUGGUGGAUUCGAACCCAAGCCUAAGCCGCUUGGGUUUUUUUUC